GCUUGGCGGGGGUGGGCGGUGGGGGCUACCUUGUGCUGCACAGCUCAGCCCAGCCUCACUGCUGCCCACUGUGGGCUCAACCUGGGGUGCUCUCUGUCCCUUCAUCUCCCCUGGCCUCUGUUGUGGAUGACUGCCCCAAGUUACAGCCCUUCCCCCAGCCCAGUGCUGCUUAUAGGACCUCCCCGCCCCCGCUCCCCCUGUCGGCACCUGGACUCAUCCCUGCCAGCCUCCGCCAUGGGGGGCACCUUCCCGCCCCCUCUGUGUGCGAGGUCCUCUCAGCCCGGUGUCCCACGUCUGCAGACAGGCCACAGGCCCACCGCCCACAUUCUGCCCGCUUCCGGAAUGUUCCAUGCUCUCCACGCUCCCUUCUUGUGCCCGGAGCUCCCCGCUCACCCGCGGUCCAGUCCCAGGUCCUCGUGUCUCCCCUGCCACCUCCACCAUCUCUUCCCUCCAAGGUGGCUGCUGACGCUUUCACGUCGCCCUCAGGUUAACCCCCGGGGCUUUGUCGUCCCUGACCUUUUCUCUCGACAGGUUUGGGACGUUUUGCCGCCCUCCUUGCACAGUCUCUGUCCCCUCUGAGAUGCUUGGGUUUGUUUCGCCCUUCCCCUUUCCUGCUGCGGGUAUCGGGACAUUUCUAUUUUUAUUUUAUUAUUUUAUUUUUUAGGUGAGGCAACCCUUGGUUGACCUCACAGAUUGCAAGGACCUUGUCAGCGUACAAUCCCUUAUUUGUUAUUUUUUACGCCUGCAGCACCCGGUCUUCCUAGGUGGUCUCCCAUCCAAGUACUAACCAGGCCCGACCCCGCUUAGCUUCCGAGAUCAGACGGGAUCGGGCUCGUUCAGGAAGGCGGCGUGGCCGUAGACUAUCGUGACAUUUUAAAUCGCACUUUAAUAGCUUUUGGACACGCAGAUUGCGAGUGAGGGUUCGCAGUGCCGCUUGGAGGCGCUGAGCCAUGAGGGACCCUGAGGUGGGGGCUUCCCCGCGGGCGUGUUUGGUGGGGACCUGUCGCUGGAGGUGGUGGUGGCGGUGGGCCGCGCGCGACUCCGCCUGCAGGUGCCUCCGGUGCUCCGGAAGCAGCCGGCCCAGCUCCGCUCGCGCCCUUCCCCUCCCGCACCUGCGCCUGCGCCUGCGCCUGCGCGUGGCACCUCCUAGGCCUCCCCAGGCCAGCCUCGCACUCCCGCCGGGCGGAGUAAUUCCCCAGACCCUUCUUCCAGCUCGCAAAUCCCCCUUCGGUUGUGUCUCACCCACUGAUCAACCUGUCCACUGAGUCUUCAAGUUUCAUUCUGCUGUCCUCGUCCCCACGUGUGCUGCGCCUUUGUCCUUUGGUUCCAGGGGCUCCAUGUUCAUCCCCAGCCUAUUUCCUGAAACGGCUUUUCCAGUCCUCUCUGAAUUGGCUGAAACUGUUUGUCUAGCGAGUCCUUCAAGAGCGGCCAAUCAAACCAUCUUCCUGGUUUCUCCUGACUCGUUCAAGAAUGCCCGGUGCCUCUGUGCCUGGACAGCCACGGGCUGGGCAUGAAGUUCCCGGCGCGCUCCCUCCCCACUCUGGGCUGUGCCCGGGUCGGUCUGCUUCGAGAGUUUCUAGGGAAAGUCUGAGGAAAACGUGACUUCUUUUGUUAAGAGAAGACAUGCUGUCUUUUCCUGGCUGUCCCCAGAUUUUCUUGACCUCGAAGCCCAGUGACUUAGUUAGGACAUGUGUCUGCGCUGGCGACACAGUGUCAGCUUUCCCUUUUGCCCGGUAGCUGAGGCGUCAACGUGUUAUGUCUGGCGGCCUCCUUUAACCUUCAGCGGUUUGCCCUGCUCCGUUGUCCUGGUUCACUCCGCAGAGGCCACCGUCGGCGCGUGGCCGGCCUCCCGCGUGCCCAGCCUCUGGGGCUGCGGAGCACUGUCCACGGACAUCAGGAUGGCUCACUGCUGUCAACCCUGUUUCCCCACACGAUGCCUCGUAGUGGGGUUCCUGCGGGACUUCUCCCAAGUUUGUCUUCCUGUCUGCGAUGGAAUUAUCGCUUCAUUGCAUUUCUUUCUAGGGUCCGCACGCGUCUUUCUGCUUGUGACCCGCGGUUCAGACCCCAGACGCAGGCCGGACUUCGCUCCGCGGGGGGCUGGGCUUUCCUGCGUGCGGCCACCCGCCCAGGGAAAGCGAGGGGUCCUAGAGCACUCACGGCUGGCAGAUAACUGGUAGAUGUUGCUUCAUCUCAGGUCAAACAGGAAAGAAAACUGCUUAGAACUAGUGACAAAAAGCAAAGUGUACGACCUUUGUGGAAUCCUGUCUAAAGCUGUCCAGACUGAGAAAUGAAAAUCUUUAAGUAUAUUGAGCAAAACACUGGAAAGUUUAGAAAGAUGAAGUUAAACAUUCACCUCGAGGAGCUACGGAAGGACAAUGGCAAAUAAAACGAAGCCGUCGCGAUCGGUUAGGGUAGGACGGAUAACACCGGCAAAAACACACAGGGAGGGCAGCAGAGCCUGGAGACGACGCUUAAAAAAGUGACAGACGAGCCCCUGGCAAGACCGACCAGGGGCGAAAAGAGAGGCCGCGCGGACGACUGCAUGGAAGUUACAAGGAGAACUAAGUAUGGAUGCGGCGACCAUUUAAAAUGAUCGGAGACCAGCAGGAGCAAAGCACAUGCCAACAGCGUGAGAAGCCAGACGGAGCGGCCGCCGAAGGAGAUCGAAAACUUGACCAGACUAACAGCCAUUAAAGAAAUUAAACGGUGACCGGCCCACCCCGCAAUGCCCGGGUCUUUGAAAAGUGAGUUCUAAUGAACUACCGUGGAAUAGACGCUCCCUCCUCCACGAGAAUUUCUUACACAGGAAGUUUCAAAACGUGGACCAGUUGGAAAGGACAAUGAAAAGGGGGGUGCCUAUGAGUGAACCCUCGAACCAGACCCGGAGCAGCACAGCACUAGGGGCCCAGUCGACCAGCUCUCACGAGGGCGGGUGUGAAAACGGCCGAGUAAACGCCGUUUUGAUGUAGCAGUGAUUUAAAAAUAUUCCAGCAUGAUCAAGUAGUAGCACUGCAGGAAUGGAAGGCUGAGUGACCAUCGCGAGCCCUGUCCGUGGCGUCCAGGGCCUCAGUAGACUAAAGGAGAAAUGUCGUUUUGUGAUACGUCGACAGGUGCCGAGGGCUUUGGACACGCGGCCACUGGGGUCGGGAACAAACCAGGAAUGCUGGCUAUUCUCACUGCGACUUUUUCACGCACUGGUCAACAGGCCCUGGCCAGUGCCGUAAGAUAAGAAAAAGACACACGAGGAUUGGAAGUGAGAGCCAGCACCCAUAACUUGCUGGUGAUGUGAUCGAGACCCCACCUGCAUUAAGGAGUCACUUAAAUUGAUAAGAGAGUUUGGCAAUACCACUAAAGACAAAACCAAGAUACGGUGCUGCCAGAUAUAACGGACCCGUUUAUAAAAACCAAGCGUUUGAUUGACUUAAAACAUCUAUCCUCAGUCAACAUAGCGUUUCUCUGCAUUUGCAAAAACCAACCAGGAAACACAAGAGAAACAGGAGCUCACUCUGCUCGUACAAACGCUCUGAUCACGUGGGAACUGAUUUGGUUCUGGUUUUCGGAAGCCUGGCUUCAGAGCAGGCUGCUGUCCUGCCUGUUCCGGGCGGCGGCAGGUGGGCGGGGGGUCCUGGUUAGCCCCCUGCAAUCAUAACUGCGUCCCCUCGCUGGUGGCUGGUGCAGGGGAGUGUAGACCAGACACAAUUCUGGCCGAGGAAACAGGAGGAAGGCUGGAUCGAGCUCCCCCCAACUCCGAGGUUGUGGUCCUCACCCCCACACCCCAGGCACCUCAGAAUGUGGCCAAUUUGGAGACAGGGUCUUUGCAGAUGUAGUUGGUUAGCGUGAGACCACGUGGAGCAGGUGGGCCCCGAUCCAAUGUGACCGUGUCCUCAUAAGGAGGGACUUCGGACACAGAUACUCACACGGGAACACGCCACGUGAACAGGAAGGCAGAGACCGCGGCGAUAUGUCUCCGAGCCGGGGAACCAGCCCAGGAGGACAGCGGAGGACAUGGCUUCUCCUUCACUGCCCCGGAGGGAAGCAGAUCUGCCCACACCUCGACGCUGACCUCUGGCCUCCAGAACCGGCCGUCCGGUUCCCGUUGCCGCUUUGUUAGCCGCCCCAGGGAACAAACGCGCACGCCAGGCUAAGGGUGCCACCAUGCAGUGUGAGGGGACACGCAUGAAGGUGAGGGGUUCCAUGCUGGGGGACCCCGGCUGGGCCCCUCGUCUGCUCCCCGGGGUGCGGGGGCUCGGGUCCGCUCUGCCAUCCGGGGCUCUCCCGGGGCUCACUGUGGGGGGCGGGCCCGGUGCACGCCGAAGAAACGAACGUUUGUCGUUGCUCAGGCCGGGCGAGCACGGGUUUCUGUCCCUCGCAGCGGCAGCCGUGCUAGCUGACGACACGCCGUACAGACGGAAGCGAGACCGUGAAAACGUAAGAGCAGGUGAGCGGAGAGAGACACCGCAUUCCGGACGCGGACGACAAAGAAACCCCAAUUCCAGGAAGACCAGUGAGCGUGACACCCAGCAAACCAUUGUUAGGUCCACACGUGAGAGUAAGCGGCAUGAAGGACCGGAAAGUGAACAGUGAGACCAGAAAGCCAGCAGGAGAAAGAGCAGAAUGUCUCCAGGAUCUUGGGGGUAUCGAUGCCACCAUCCGAGCGUUGCUUAAGCACGGACUCAGGGCACGUUCCUGGAGGCCCCCUUCCGGACUGUUCCCCGCAGGACACGCGUCACACGGGGCCACGGGCCCAGCCGGCUUCUCUGCCCUCUGAACACCCAGAGUCUUCUGCGUCCAGACCUUUGAGCAUUUUAUGAAAUUCUUUUUGAUGCGAAUUUGAUAAACAUCAGUAUACGUAAGAGAGAUCAGGAACACAUUUAAA